AAGCGGAGGAAAAGAAACCAACAGGGAUUGCCCUAGUAACGGCGAGUGAACAGGCAAGAGCUCAGAUUUGAAAGCCUUUUUGGCAUUGUAUUCUGAAGUCAGUUUCCUGAGUAUCGGUGUUUAAGUCUUCUGGAAAGGAGCGCCAUGGAGGGUGAUAGCCCCGUACGACACCUCACUCAUUGUAGGAUUCUGACGUGGAGUCGAGUUGUUUGGGAAUGCAGCUCAAAAGGGUGGUAUGCUCCAUCUAAAGCUAAAUAUCUGUGAGAGACCGAUAGCGAACAAGUACUGUGAAGGAAAGAUGAAAAGAACUUUGAAAAGAGAGUGAAAAAGUACGUGAAAUUGUUGAAAUGGAAGGAUAUGCCGCUAACAAUGUAGAGCCGUGUUUGGGGGGAAGACAAAAGCUGAAGAAUGUAUCUCUUUUAGGGAAUUAUAACUUCAGUCAAUAUUCCCAUCCGGGCGCGAGGACCUCAGGCUCUACUAAAUGGUGGUCUAUCACCCGUCUUG
rnacentral:rRNA from 1 species